GCUAUGCGGGUAUCCGGCCUGAGCGGGUGAACGGACACACUGGAACUGAGACACGGUCCAGACUCCUACGGGAGGCAGCAGUAGGGAAUAUUGCUCAAUGGGGGAAACCCUGAAGCAGCAACGCCGCGUGGAGGAUGAAGGUUUUAGGAUUGUAAACUCCUUUUGUUAGAGAAGAUAAUGACGGUAUCUAACGAAUAAGCACCGGCUAACUCCGUGCCAGCAGCCGCGGUAAUACGGAGGGUGCAAGCGUUACUCGGAAUCACUGGGCGUAAAGAGCGCGUAGGCGGGAUAGUCAGUCAGGUGUGAAAUCCUAUGGCUUAACCAUAGAACUGCAUUUGAAACUACUAUUCUAGAGUGUGGGAGAGGUAGGUGGAAUUCUUGGUGUAGGGGUAAAAUCCGUAGAGAUCAAGAGGAAUACUCAUUGCGAAGCGACCUGCUGGGAACAUUUACUGACGCUGAUUGUGCCAAAACCUGGGGGAG
rnacentral:rRNA from 1 species